rnacentral:miRNA from 1 species
UGGCUUUCCAUGACAGGUUGG